rnacentral:rRNA from 1 species
GAUGAACGCUAGCGGCAGGCUUAAUACAUGCAAGUCGAGGGACAGCACAGGUAGCAAUACUGGGUGGUAACCGGCAAACGGGUGCGGAACACGUACACAACCUUCCUUUAAGUGGGGGAUAGCCCAGAGAAAUUUGGAUUAAUACCCCGUAAUAUAGUUGAAUGGCAUCAUUUGAUUAUUAUAGCUACGGCGCUUAAUGAUGGGUGUGCGGCUGAUUAGAUAGUUGGCGGGGUAACGGCCCACCAAGUCUACGAUCAGUAGCUGAUGUGAGAGCAUGAUCAGCAAAACGGGCACUGAUACACGGGCCCGACUCCUACGGGAGGAAGAAGUAAGGAAUAUUGGUCAAUGGACGCAAGUCCGAACCAGCCAUGCCGCGUGAAGGAUUAAGGUCCUCUGGAUUGUAAACUUCUUUUAUUUGGGACGAAAAAGGGCCUUUCUAGGUCAACUGACGGUACCAGAUGAAUAAGCACCGGCUAACUCCGUGCCAGCCGCCGCAGUAAAAC